GGCUUUGUAGCUCAAGGUGCUAGAGCGUUGGCUGUACUUAAGCCUUCCCCUUGCUGGCGUGGGUUUGAAUCCCACCGUGGCUG
rnacentral:tRNA from 1 species